rnacentral:rRNA from 1 species
AGUGAACGCUGGCGGCAGGCUUAACACAUGCAAGUCGAACGAGAUCUUCGGAUCUAGUGGCAGACGGGUGAGGAACACGUGGGAACAUCCCUUUCAGUUCGGAAUAACGUUGGGAAACUAACGCUAAUACCGGAUACGUCCUUCGGGAGAAAGAUUUAUCGCUGAAAGAUUGGCCCGCGUCUGAUUAGCUAGUUGGUGAGGUAAUGGCUUACCAAGGCUACGAUCAGUAGCUGAUCUGAGAGGAUGAUCAGCCACAUUGGGACUGAGACACGGCCCAAACUCCUACGGGAGGCAGCAGUGGGGAAUAUUGGACAAUGGGCGCAAGCCUGAUCCAGCCAUGCCGCGUGAGUGAUGACGGCCUUCGGGUUGUAAAGCUCUUUUGUCCGGGAAGAUAAUGACUGUACCGGAAGAAUAAGCCCCGGCAAACUUCGUGCAAGCCGCCGCAGAAA